UUCAAAAUGCACAAAUGUUAUAGACAACCUGGGGUGUUUGACCAAUUGAGGGGCAAAGGAAGGACUUGGAACAGCAAGAUACACGGACGUUGAGUAAUUCACCUCCACAGACAAGUUGUGUAGAAUUAAACGGACACUCUAAGUUUCAAAAACUAUUUGCAAGUCCUGGAUUCAAUGGUCCUCUAUGAGAAGAAUGAGACUGAUGUUGCACAGUGACUGGUGAAGUGUUAGAGUGUUAAUUUAUGUAAAAUAUUUGUUUGAUUACAUGAUUAAAAGAAAUUCCAUUCAUAGGUACAGCUGAAUAGCUUUAUCAUUUUGUAAUGACAGAUGUACUCACUACAGACCCUUGUUC